CAUUUAAGAAAAGUUCAGAGUGCCCACAUUGCAUCUGGCCCCAUUUAGGUACUGAGGAUACAGCAAGGCACAAAGCAGAUUAAAAUUGCUCUUUCAUGGAGCUUGCCACUACUGAGAGACAGACACUGUGGAAGGCUUUGGAAAUGCAGUUUUUAAUUUAAUUAUUAUUAACCAUUUGUUAACCAUAAAAUGCCACUUAGUUAAGGACCUUGUUAAAACCUUUCUAAAUUAUACAUAUGCUCUGUACUUUCAACAAAUACUCAGAGCCAUCACAGUGAUACUGUGCUAAUUCCCCCAGCAGGCUAGUCCUGCUCCAAUAAGCUGGAAAUCAUGAUGAUGGUCACUUAUGUCCUACUUUUUUUUUUUUUUUUUUUUUUUUUUUUUUUUGCUUUUUAGGGCCGUACCCAAGGCAUAUGGAAGUUCCCAGGCUAGGGGUCGAAUCCAAGCUACAGCUGCCGGCCUACGCCACAGCCAUAACAAUGCAGGAUCCGAGUCAUGUCUGUGACCUACACCACAGCUCACAGCAUUGCCGGAUCCUUAACUCACUGAGCAAGGCCAGGGAUCCAACCCAAAUCCUCAUGGGUCCUAGUCGGGUUUGUUAACUGCUGAGCCCUGGAAGGAACUCCCCAUCUCCUUCUUCUCUUGAAUUGCCAUCCAUAUUGCUUUUCCACCCACUUUUCCUUGGGUAUGUUAUCUACUGAUUUUUCCAUCAUUCUCCAUUAUUCACUAAAGCUUUUAGACCCUAGAUUUUUAUGCCCCUUUCCAAGCACAGUGGCACCAAUAUUUUGAGUGCUUUCAAAAGUCACUUGGACAAAUAAAGCAUCUAUCCCACCAGCCUUCCAGGUCCUUGACAUUCCCAGCUCCAAAGCCCAUUGCCCACCUUUGAGCAAUCCUCUCCUCUUGGCAUCUUGAGGAAUGUUUUUGUGAAAAACCUCUCCAACUCUGUAUUCUAAAUCUCCAACCUCCCCCCAUCAGCUGCCCCUGCUCCCUCUCUGACCUUGUAGCCUUGUGAGUGCCUUUUAGGAGCUCAUCUAGUCACUCUCUCAACAAAUGUCCACUGAGUAUCUGCUGCAAGCAGCGCACCAUGAAAGGCACAGGUUGUGAUAGUACAUGUGGGAAACAUGCUCCAUGAACUCACAAUAUAUAGAGGGAAGAAAAUAGUGGGCAAGUAUGAGCAUGAUAAACAUUAGGGAACAGAGUGAAGGUGCAGACAGAGCUAUCCUAGCCAGGGAACCUAAGAAGGUUUCUCUGAGAAGCUUUGAGAUGAUUUCCUCAUUUAAGUAGCAGUGAAAGAAUGAAGAGAAGCUAGCCAGGCAGAGGAUGGAGGAGGGUAUUCCUGCAGAGGGAUGGCAUGCAUGUUUAAAAACUCUGAGGUAUGAGAUAUUUGCACUUUCAAGGUAUGCCAAGGAACUGGUGAGACCCCUGUGAGUCUGGGGGCAUAGGAGCUAUGCCAAAGUAUAAUGGUUAAAAAGCAGGUGCCAAAUCAUGUGGAUUAUUGGGUUAAUGUUUAAGGAUUUCGCCCUUUAUCCUACCAGCCCAAUAAGAAGCCCAAACUAGACCUCCCAGUCAAUCACAUAAUUUAUUCUUACUAGUAUCUAUGACAUCUUUGAAACCAAGCCAGGAUCAAAUGAAAAUCUACCUCCUCUAACCUUUUUCCUUGAUAGCUCAGUGCUGGAGAGAUAAAUUGCACAGCCAAGAUGACUGGCAUCAUGGGAAUCUCUCACCUUUCCAGCUGACUUGGGAUUUGGGGGCCAUUCAUCCCUCUCUUCCCUUCUCAUUGGCAGCUCUUGCAUUCUUUUCAAUGGAUAGUCCUAACCUUGUCUAUCCUUUGUAACCUCUGUAGUUACCUGUCCCCACUCCCUCCCCUUCAUACACAGAUGGCUUUGUUUCCCAUACUUGCUGGACCAUUGAGCAGGAAUUACUCAGUGCCAGACCCCCCUCUACCUAAACUUCCAUGAUUAGCUCCUUGCCUCCAUUUCAUGGGCUAAGGGUCAUUUUCCUUACUUAGCACCUAUUUCUCCACUUUUGUUAUUCUAUUUUGACUCUUUUCUUACAUCUUACUCCUUUAUUUAUCUCUUCACCUUCUCAAUCUUUAGCCUGCCUACCACCCUCAAUUUUGUUCCUGUAGGGUGUAGGUAAUUUCUUUACAUCACCUCUUUCUCAGAGGGGAAAGUUCCUGUCGUGGCGCAGUGGUUAACAAAUCUGACUAGGAACCAUGAGGUUGUGGGUUCGAUCCCUGGCCUCACUCAGUGGGUUAAGAAUUUGGCGUUGCCAUGAGCUGUGGUGUAGAUCGCAGAUGCAGCUCGGAUCCCGAGUUGCUGUGGCUCUGGCAUAGGCCGGCGGCUAAGGCUCUGAUUUGACCCCUAGCCUGGGAACCUCUAUAUGCCGUGGGAGCAGCCCUAGAAAAGGCAAAAAGAUGGGGGGGGGGAAGAACUUCCUUCCCUUAGGACUUUCUGAACCAGAACACAAGGUGACAGUUUCUUCCACACUCCAUAUAUAUUUUGGAGGUUUUACAUAUACUAAUAAAACAAGAAACAGAGGGUAAAAAGACCCCCAGGUCCAGCAGGGAAGGUAUGUUUAGAGUUAGGAUAGCCUUGGAGCACUUGGAUAGUCAGGGAGUCCCCUGAGGUUUUGUUCCAGGCAGGAGGCUGGGCUGAGGAGCCUUUGGGAGGAAAGUGAAAAUACUGGUAAGAAAUGAGGAUGCUGGGAUGCUGCCUAUAGGACCUGGCUAUGAACCCAAAGGUCCUGGAUUCAAAAACUGAGUGUCAGAGUUCCCCUUGUGGCUCAGUGGUUAACGAAUCCGACUAGGAACCAUGAGGUUGCAGGUUCGAUCCCUGGCCUCACUCAGUGGGUUAAGGAUCUGGCGUUGCCGUGAGCUGUAGGUCGCAGAUGCUGCUCGGAUCCUGAGUUGCUGUGGCUGUGGCGUAGGCCAGAGUCUACAGCCCCGAUUAGACCCCUAGCCUGGGAACCUCCAUAUGCCAAGGGUGCAGCCCUAGAAAAAAAAAGGCAAAAAGACAAAAAAAAAAAAAAGUGAGUGUCCAAGGCCAAAACAGAGACAAUGGAGGAUCAGAAACUUGAUUGGAAGGUGUGGGGAUACUAAGAAACCACAAGUCUCUAGUGCUGGGAGGGAAAGAGGCACAGGGAAAAAAGCCAUGUUUCCCACUGCCAGAGGGGCCUCUCAUAAUUAACACCCAAAAGUCAAGGAUUUUCUAACUUCAAUGAUCUGGCUUUAAUGGCACUUAUUUGCUUAUAUUCUGAAUCUGGAGUGUUGCAAAAACGUCUAGUUUUACAUAAAGGGAACCCUCCCACUGGGCGGGUUGCCCAUCUGCUGUGCGGUCAGAGCUCCUGUGCUGCCUCCAUCUCAGCUCUCGUUGGGAGUGCUGCAGAGGAUUGUGGCAGGGUGUGCACUGCAAGGAAGAUCCCUGCGCUAGGGACAAGCUUGUCCAUUGAGGGAUGUAUCCUUUGCUAAUGAGUCCAAGUCGCCAUGUAAGCUAGUCCCGGACUCACCAUAUCAUAUAUCUUCACAAGACUGUGAGGCUCACCAAGGCAGGGUCCAUGUCUUAUCUUUCUGCUUCUGGACAUCAUAAUAAUACCUAUGGAUCUAUUUCUGUUUUGCAUAUGUUAAUUUGUAUCUUUUAUUAAAGUUUUUUUUAAUACCAUGCCUAUUACUUCUGAUAGCACCAGGCAUCUAGUAGGCUCCCCCCCGCCCCCCGUAUGAGGAUAAGUCAUAUGUAGACCAAAAACAGUUGAAUGUGGGCAAUUUCAUAUGGUUCAACUUUCUAAGUGCUUGGUGGUGGUGCUUGUGGUGGUGGUGGUGGUUCCAUUUAAUAAAGGUAUUAUUGGUCAUUAACCUAGACUUUGGACUAGGGAAGAAAUGGAUGCUGAUUUUGUAGUAAAUUUGGAUCUUUCACAUAGACUGUAUCUAGUGUUAUAAGAGCUGCUUUUUUCAUGACAGAGUUCAGCCAUGCUGAAGGGGGCAGGUGAACGUUGGGGAGAAGGCAAAGGAAAAAUGGAAGGAGACAAUCUGGGCAGAGAGUAGAACCUAAGACAAGAAUAGAGAGAAGGGGAGUUCCCGUAGUGGCGCAAUGGUUAACGAAUCCGACUAGGAACCAUGAGGUUGCAGGUUCGGUCCCCGCCCUUGCUCAGUGGGUUAAGGAUCCGGCGUUGCCGUGAGCUGUGCUGUAGGUUGCAAAUGCGGCUCGGAUCCCGCGUUGCUGUGGCUCUGGUGUAGGCCGGUGGCUAUGGCUCUGAUUGGACCCCUAGCCUGGGAACCUCCAUAUGCCGCAGGAGCGGCCCAAGAAAUAGCAAAAAGACCAAAAAAAAAGAAUAGAGAGAAGGGAGAGUUCCCUUGUGGCACAGCAGGUUAAGGAGCUAACUUCAUCAUU
rnacentral:lncRNA from 1 species